AUCCAGCUGAUGAGUCCCAAAUAGGACGAAACACGCGUCAAACUAAAU
rnacentral:hammerhead_ribozyme from 1 species